GAUAAGGAGCUUGCUCCUUUGACGUUAGCGGCGGACGGGUGAGUAACACGUGGGUAAYCUACCUAUAAGACUGGAAUAACUCCGGGAAACCGGGGCUAAUGCCGGAUAACAUUUAGAACCGCAUGGUUCUAAAGUGAAAGAUGGUUUUGCUAUCACUUAUAGAUGGACCCGCGCCGUAUUAGCUAGUUGGUAAGGUAAUGGCUUACCAAGGCAACGAUACGUAGCCGACCUGAGAGGGUGAUCGGCCACACUGGAACUGAGACACGGUCCAGACUCCUACGGGAGGCAGCAGUAGGGAAUCUUCCGCAAUGGGCGAAAGCCUGACGGAGCAACGCCGCGUGAGUGAUGAAGGGUUUCGGCUCGUAAAACUCUGUUAUUAGGGAAGAACAAACGUGUAAGUAACUGUGCACGUCUUGACGGUACCUAAUCAGAAAGCCACGGCUAA
rnacentral:rRNA from 1 species